AUUGAACGCUGGCGGCAGGCUUAACACAUGCAAGUCGAGCGGAGAUGAGGUGCUUGCACCUUAUCUUAGCGGCGGACGGGUGAGUAAUGCUUAGGAAUCUGCCUAUUAGUGGGGGACAACAUUCCGAAAGGAAUGCUAAUACCGCAUACGUCCUACGGGAGAAAGCAGGGGAUCUUCGGACCUUGCGCUAAUAGAUGAGCCUAAGUCGGAUUAGCUAGUUGGUGGGGUAAAGGCCUACCAAGGCGACGAUCUGUAGCGGGUCUGAGAGGAUGAUCCGCCAAACUGGGACUGAGACACGGCCCAGACUCCUACGGGAGGCAGCAGUGGGGAAUAUUGGACAAUGGGGGGAACCCUGAUCCAGCCAUGCAGCGGGUGUGAAGAAGGCCUUAUGGUUGUAAAGCACUUUAAGCGAGGAGGAGGCUACUGAGACUAAUACUCUUGGAUAGUGGACGUUACUCGCAGAAUAAGCACCGGCUAACUCUGUGCCAGCAGCCGCCGUAACAC
rnacentral:rRNA from 1 species